rnacentral:rRNA from 1 species
AUACGGAGGGUGCAAGCGUUAAUCGGAAUUACUGGGCGUAAAGCGUGCGUAGGCGGUUUAUUAAGUCAGAUGUGAAAGCCCCGGGCUUAACCUGGGAACUGCAUUUGAUACUGGUAGACUAGAGUAUGGUGGAGGGGGGUAGAAUUCCUAGUGUAGCGGUGAAAUGCGUAGAUAUUAGGAGGAAUACCAGUGGCGAAGGCGGCCCCCUGGACCAAUGCUGACGCUGAGGUACGAAAGCGUGGGGAGCGAACAGGAUUAGAUACCCCAGUAGUCC